UGCCCUGAAGGAGAUUGAUGGGCUGAAGACGCAGCUGAGUGCGGAAGUGGGAAAUGCGAUGAUUUCUGAAUCACAAAUUCAGAAAUUACAAGUAAAACUUUCUGAAUCCACUUCGCCUUGAAAGAUUUGGAGGAUCGCUUCUCUCGGUCCACGGAGAAGUCGAAGAAGAUGAAGGAAGCUCUGGACGCUUCUUCUGAAAAAGUCAAGGAUUUGGAGUUCGAAGUUGAUGGCCAAUCUGAUCAACUUCAGGACUUGAACUUUUUUGGUGCUCACGUGUUUACGAGUCUGCCCGCCAACUACAUUUCAGACAUUAUGGCGUGGCUAGAAGAACAUCCUGAAGUGCAGCUGGAGCACAAGGAAGCCUUAGAUAAGAUCAAAAGCGAUGUUCGCGAAGCGAGGAAAGAAGACUGAACUAUUAUUGUAAUAGAUUUCCUUCUAUUUUUUGUAGUGGAUUUUGUAUUUUUUUUUUUGUGUUAAUGAAAUUACUUUCUUUGCUAAUGUGUUUAGACUUAAACUAGAUUCUUAGAUCGUAACUUAGUCGCUCUGGAUGUAAGUUAGAUACUUAGGACAUAGGUUUGGUCGUACGAAUCGUAGUUGAACUUAAACUAGAUUCACAAAUCGUAACUUAGUCGCUCUGGACGUAAGUUAGAUUCUUUUAACUCUACUUAGCCACUUAGGACGUAAGUUUGGAAAAACUCGACUUAACUAGAUUCACAAAUCGUAACUUAGUCGCUUUGGACGUAAGUUAGAUUUUUUUUAACUUUACUUAGCCACUUAGGACGUAAGUACGAAUCGUAGUUAAA
rnacentral:lncRNA from 1 species